rnacentral:rRNA from 1 species
UACAGAGGGUGCGAGCGUUAAUCGGAAUUACUGGGCGUAAAGCGUGCGCAGGCGGUUUGUUAAGUCUGUUGUGAAAUCCCCGAGCUCAACUUGGGAAUUGCAAUGGAUACUGGCAGGCUGGAGUAUGGUAGAGGAAGGUGGAAUUCCCGGUGUAGCAGUGAAAUGCGUAGAGAUCGGGAGGAACACCAGUGGCGAAGGCGGCCUUCUGGACCAAUACUGACGCUCAUGCACGAAAGCGUGGGGAGCAAACAGG